UAUGAAAAUGUGAUUCGUGCCGUUACAUCAUCAGGGUGAUGAGAGACUCUUUGAUGGAAGCAGCAAGGACCUCUGAAACGUCGCUAAACUUGUAACAGACUACACGGCGCAACAACCCAGAAUACUGCUCAUGAUAAUAGAUACUUAAAGUGGUUCUGUUUUUAAUGGAUAAUGAAGAAUGCCAAGUGUCAGAUACUGCACAGAUAAGGCAGAAUCAUUAAGUCUGAUGGCAACCCUUUCAAGUGAAAGUGUAAAUAAGUACACUUUACCAAGUUGCACGUCUACUAUGCAGGCAUCUGUUACUGAGGAAUAAUGUAAAUGGCAAUAAAUACUAUUAUAAGAAUAAUAAUUUCUCUUCACAAUUGAUGAUAUGAUCAGGUACAUGAUAUUCUCAACAUUAGAAUACACAACAAAUUCACAAGCAGAAGCAGCUCACAUCAUAACCUUGUAGCACUGUAUGUUUCAAAUCAUCACUCACACAUUAUCUUAUUUCAUCCAGUGUAAGAAAGAUAUAAUCUUCACUAUAGAAAACUCAACUCAAUAAAGAAAUUAAAUUAACAGCUUUAUUGAUGUUCAAGUGACUAUGGUGACUAACUGGUACAGACAACAUACGUAAGAUUUGCAUUGGGAACAGUUGGUGGUAGCAGCUGCAACUUUUUAAAUAAACCUAAGCAAAAAGAGGCAAAGCUUCAGUAAAACUAUGGUUAAAAAAGAGUGCACUUAGCCAUUUGUUUUUAAAUAAAUUUUAUUAUUAAAGUGUUUGCCAACAGAAGAGAGCCUAUAAAAGGCUAACACUAACAAAAAUAUACAACAUUAACUGAAUUAUAUAAAAAAAGAAAAUUAAACUAAAAGAAAUAAUCAAUCUAGACACUUACUCAAAUAGAACAACAUUAAUUUCAAUGCUAAAGCAUAUUUACUCCACUUUUGGGCUGGAAAUAGUGAUUGCUCAAAUGCAACUUGUAGUCUCCUGCACUUGACUGGCUGAGUGGAUAUAUUAAUGUGGUAUUUUAAAAGUCUGUAAUCUACAAAGUUGCCUCAUGCAACAUACCCCGACUACAUAAAAGUGAAGGAGGUUUCAAUUAAGAGACUAAAAUAAUGGGACUGUGUACUAAAGAAUUUUAAGGCAAUGAAAAUUGAUUUUGUA